CCUACGUGCGGCAGCAGUGAGGAAUAUUGGUCAAUGGGAGGAAUCCUGAACCAGCCAUGCCGCGUGCAGGACGACGGCUCUACGAGUUGUAAACUGCUUUUGUACCGGGGUAAAAUGCCUUACGUGUAGGCUUUUGAAAGGACGGUACGAAUAAGGAACGGCUAACUCCGUUCCAGCAGCCGCGGUAAUACCGAGGAUCCGAGCGUUAUCCGGAUUCAUUUGGUUUAAAGGGUGCGUAGGUCGGUUUAUAAGUUAGCGGUGAAAUACCGAUGCUCAACAUCGGGGCUGCCGCUAAUACUGUGGGACUAGAGAGCGGAUGAAGCAGGCGGAAUGUGUAGUGUAGCGGUGAAAUGCAUAGAUAUUACACAGAACACCGAUUGCGAAGGCAGCUUGCUAGGCCGGAUCUGACGCUGAUGCACGAAAGCGUGGGGAUCGAACAGGAUUAGAUACCCUAGUAGUC
rnacentral:rRNA from 1 species